GAUGAACGCUGGCGGCGUGCCUAAUACAUGCAAGUCGAGCGAACAGACGAGGAGCUUGCUCCUCUGACGUUAGCGGCGGACGGGUGAGUAACACGUGGAUAACCUACCUAUAAGACUGGGAUAACUUCGGGAAACCGGAGCUAAUACCGGAUAAUAUAUUGAACCGCAUGGUUCAAUAGUGAAAGACGGUUUUGCUGUCACUUAUAGAUGGAUCCGCGCCGCAUUAGCUAGUUGGUAAGGUAACGGCUUACCAAGGCAACGAUGCGUAGCCGACCUGAGAGGGUGAUCGGCCACCCUGGAACUGAGACACGGUCCAGACUCCUACGGGAGGCAGCAGUAGGGAAUCUUCCGCGAUGGGCGAAAGCCUGACGGAGCAACGCCGCGUGAGUGAUGAAGGUCUUCGGAUCGUAAAACUCUGUUAUUAGGGAAGAACAAAUGUGUAAGUAACUAUGCACGUCUUGACGGUACCUAAUCAGAAAGCCACGGCUAACUACGUG
rnacentral:rRNA from 1 species